GGCGGGGUAAUGGCCCACCAAGACAGUGAUCUGUAUCCGGCCUGAGAGGGCGCACGGACACACUGGAACUGAAACACGGUCCAGACUCCUACGGGAGGCAGCAGUGGGGAAUUUUGCGCAAUGGGGGAAACCCUGACGCAGCAACGCCGCGUGGAGGAUGAAGUCCUUCGGGACGUAAACUCCUUUCGAUCGGGACGAUAAUGACGGUACCGAGAGAAGAAGCCCCGGCUAACUUCGUGCCAGCAGCCGCGGUAAUACGAGGGGGGCGAGCGUUGUUCGGAAUUAUUGGGCGUAAAGGGUGCGUAGGCGGUUUGGUAAGUCUGAUGUGAAAUCUAUGGGCUCAACUCAUAGUCUGCAUCGGAAACUGCCGGGCUUGAGUAUGGGAGAGGUGAGUGGAAUUUCCGGUGUAGCGGUGAAAUGCGUAGAUAUCGGAAGGAACACCUGUGGCGAAAGCGGCUCACUGGACCAUAACUGACGCUGAUGCACGAAAGCUAGGGGAGCAAACAGGAUUAGAUACCCUGGUAGUCCUAGCCCUAAACGAUGACUGCUUGGUGUGACGGGUACCCAAUCCCGCCGUGCCGUAGCUAACGCGUUAAGCAGUCCGCCUGGGGAGUACGGUCGCAAGGCUGAAACUCAAAGGAAUGA
rnacentral:rRNA from 1 species